CCUAGCCUAUCAGAGGGGAAUAACAGUGAGAAAUCAUUGCUAAUACCGCAUAUGCUCACAGUAUCACAUGAUACAGUGAGGAAAGGAGCAAUCCGCUGAUAGAUGGGCUUGCGCCUGAUUAGUUAGUUGGUGGGGUAACGGCCUACCAAGACGACGAUCAGUAGCCGGACUGAGAGGUUGAACGGCCACAUUGGGACUGAGAUACGGCCCAGACUCCUACGGGAGGCAGCAG
rnacentral:rRNA from 1 species